UACGUAGGGGUCUAGCGUUGUCCGGAUUUAUUGGGCGUAAAGAGCGUGUAGGCGGCCAGGUAGGUCGGUUGUGAAAACUGGAGGCUCAACCUUCAGAGGUCGACCGAAACCAUCUGGCUAGAGUCCGGGAGAGGAGAGUGGAAUUCCUGGUGUAGCGGUGAAAUGCGCAGAUAUCAGGAAGAACACCCGUGGCGAAAGCGGCUCUCUGGAACGGUACUGACGCUGAGACGCGAAAGCGUGGGGAGCGAACAGG
rnacentral:rRNA from 1 species